AUGCGCGAGGAACUAAUUGCUUCCUUCUUUGGAACUGCUUCUUGCAUGAGCUGUUUCGGAUAUUUCGUCUCAUGGCCUGGCUUAUUUCGUUUCGGCGCUGCUGAGACCUCCUUUCGCGGAAAAUUACUCAAUGACAGUGUGCGAAGAACGCGAGUUCAACUUCUUGACGAAAAUCGUGGACUAACAGUUUGAAGUCAUUGAACUACUUCCAAAAGUUGUAUCGUCAUCAACAGGAUUACCAUUUCAGUGCAAUAUGAUGCAGGAUGACCUUAUCACGAUAACCCAUGAUUAUAAACCAUUAGGGGCCGUCCGGGGUUACCGAUAGUUUUUGCAAAACGAAAAGUUUUAGUAUUUAUCAGCACCCACCCACCUACCUUUUCUACAGGUAAAACGAAUCCCAAUAAAAUAUUGAUGUCAAUUUUCGACACCCAAAAGUAACUGGGCAUUCUCCAUCUGCAUUCAAUAAUUAUUUUCAAAACGAAACUCCUUCAAACUCGCCCCCAAACGAAAACUUUUAGUUUUGAAAAUACUAUUGGUAACCUUGGACGGCCCCUUAUGA